rnacentral:rRNA from 1 species
GAUGAACGCUGGCGGCGUGCCUAAUACAUGCAAGUCGAGCGAACAGACGAGGAGCUUGCUCCUCUGACGUUAGCGGCGGACGGGUGAGUAACACGUGGAUAACCUACCUAUAAGACUGGGAUAACUUCGGGAAACCGGAGCUAAUACCGGAUAAUAUAUUGAACCGCAUGGUUCAAUAGUUAAAGACGGUUUUGCUGUCACUUAUAGAUUGAUCCGCGCCGCAUUAGCUAGUUGGUAAGGUAACGGCUUACCAAGGCAACGAUGCGUAGCCGACCUGAUAGGGUGAUCGGCCAAACUGGAAGUGAGACACGGACCAGACGACUACGGGAGGCAGCAGUAGGGAAUAUUCCGCAAUGGGCGAAAGCAUGACGGAGCAACGCCGAGUGAGAGAAGAAGGUCUUCGGAUCGUAAAACUCUGUUAUUAGGGAAGAACAAAUGUGUAAGUAACUAUGCACGUCUUGACGGUAACUAAUCAGAAAGCAACGGCUAACUACGUG